AGAUUGAACGCUGGCGGCAGGCCUAACACAUGCAAGUCGAGCGGCAGCACGGGUACUUGUACCUGGUGGCGAGCGGCGGACGGGUGAGUAAUGCCUAGGAAUCUGCCUGGUAGUGGGGGAUAACGCUCGGAAACGGACGCUAAUACCGCAUACGUCCUACGGGAGAAAGCAGGGGACCUUCGGGCCUUGCGCUAUCAGAUGAGCCUAGGUCGGAUUAGCUAGUUGGUGAGGUAAUGGCUCACCAAGGCGACGAUCCGUAACUGGUCUGAGAGGAUGAUCAGUCACACUGGAACUGAGACACGGUCCAGACUCCUACGGGAGGCAGCAGUGGGGAAUAUUGGACAAUGGGCGAAAGCCUGAUCCAGCCAUGCCGCGUGUGUGAAGAAGGUCUUCGGAUUGUAAAGCACUUUAAGUUGGAGGAAGGCAUUUACCUAAUACGUAAGUGUUUAGACGUUACGACAGAAUAAGCACCGGCUAACUCGUGUGACCAGCA
rnacentral:rRNA from 1 species